rnacentral:rRNA from 1 species
AGAGUUUGAUCCUGGCUCAGAACGAACGCUGGCGGCGCGUUUUAAGCAUGCAAGUCGAACGGUAUACAGUGCUCGCACUGUAGAGAGUGGCGAACGGGUGAGUAACACGUAGGUAAUCUACCUCUGGGUACGGGGAUAGCUCAUGGAAACAUGAGGUAAUACCCGAUAAGUCUUUAGCUAUUAAUUAGCUUAAGAGAAAGGCGCUAUGGUGCCGACCUGGGAUGAGCCUGCGGCUGAUUAGCUAGUUGGUGGGGUAAAGGCCUACCAAGGCGAUGAUUAGUAGCCGGCCUGAGAGGGUGACCGGCCACACUGGGACUGAGACACGGCCCAGACUCCUACGGGAGGCAGCAGCUAAGAAUCUUCCGCAAUGGGCGAAAGCCUGACGGAGCGACGCCGCGUGAACGAAGAAGGCCGUGAGGUUGUAAAGUUCUUUUCUUGUGGAGGAAUAACGUUAGGAGUGACUGCCUGACAGAUGACGUCAAACAAGGAAUAAGCCCCGGCUAAUUACGUGCCAGCAGCCGCGGUAACACGUAAGGGGCAAGCGUUGUUCGGAAUUAUUGGGCGUAAAGGGCGCGUAGGCGGUUUACCAAGUCUGGUGUGAAAGACCACAGCUCAACUGUGGGAACGCAUUGGAAACUGGUAGACUAGAGUAUAGGAGGGGAAACUGGAAUUCCUGGUGUAGGGGUGAAAUCUGUAGAUAUCAGGAAGAACACCGGUGGCGAAGGCGAGUUUCUGGCCAUAUACUGACGCUGAGGCGCGAAAGCGUGGGGAGCGAACAGGAUUAGAUACCCUGGUAGUCCACGCUGUAAACGAUGUGCACUAGGUGUCGGCCUGACCAUUAAAUCAGACGAGAGUCUGCUUUUAGGAUGGAAUCAACGAGAGGCGAAAAUCUUAAGUUGAACCUAAAAUCUUCAAUGAAGAUUUAGUGGUCAGGUCGGUGCCGCAGCUAACGCGUUAAGUGCACCGCCUGGGGAGUAUGCCCGCAAGGGUGAAACUCAAAGGAAUUGACGGGGGCCCGCACAAGCGGUGGAGCAUGUGGUUUAAUUCGAUGAUACGCGAGAAACCUUACCAGGGCUUGACAUAUACAGGAAUGGUGUAGAGAUACAUCAGCUGCUUGCAGUCUGUAUACAGGUGCUGCAUGGUUGUCGUCAGCUCGUGCUGUGAAGUGUUGGGUUAAGUCCCGCAACGAGCGCAACCCCUGCUGUCUGUUGCCAACAUUUAGUUGAGGACUCAGACGGUACUGCCGGUGACAAACCGGAGGAAGGUGGGGACGACGUCAAAUCAUCAUGGCCCUUAUGUCCUGGGCUACACACGUGCUACAAUGGUCGGUACAGAGUGAAGCGAAGCGGCGACGUGGAGCAAAUCGCAGAAAGCCGGCCUCAGUUCGGAUUGAAGUCUGAAACUCGACUUCAUGAAGGUGGAAUCGCUAGUAAUCGCGCAUCAGCAUGGCGCGGUGAAUACGUUCCCGGGCCUUGUACACACCGCCCGUCACACCACCCGAGUUGGGGGUACCCGAAGUCGCUAGUCUAACCAGCAAUGGAGGACGGUGCCGAAGGUAUGCCUGGUAAGGGGGGUGAAGUCGUAACAAGGUA